rnacentral:rRNA from 1 species
GAUGAACGCUGGCGGCGUGCUUAACACAUGCAAGUCGAGCGAAGCACUUAAGUUAGAUUCUUCGGAUGAAGACUUUUGUGACUGAGCGGCGGACGGGUGAGUAACGCGUGGGUAACCUGCCUCAUACAGGGGGAUAACAGUUAGAAAUGACUGCUAAUACCGCAUAAGACCACGGUACCGCAUGGUACAGUGGUAAAAACUCCGGUGGUAUGAGAUGGACCCGCGUCUGAUUAGGUAGUUGGUGGGGUAACGGCCUACCAAGCCGACGAUCAGUAGCCGACCUGAGAGGGUGACCGGCCACAUUGGGACUGAGACACGGCCCAGACUCCUACGGGAGGCAGCAGUGGGGAAUAUUGCACAAUGGAGGAAACUCUGAUGCAGCGACGCCGCGUGAAGGAUGAAGUAUUUCGGUAUGUAAACUUCUAUCAGCAGGGAAGAAAAUGACGGU